rnacentral:lncRNA from 1 species
UGAGAAUUGCAAAAGUUGAAUCCAUCAAAUAUUAAUUCAUUUCAAGUACAAACAAAUUCACCUAGAUUGUAAUGUUACUCAGAGCCCGAAGAGCUCCGCCAAAGAUCACUCUUUGCAUUAUGCGAAGAGCGACAUCUACGAAACGAAGCGUGGAGAACGUAAUCUCCGCACACCACGGAGAUCGUCUCCAUGCUGUGCAGAGAGCGGAGACAUCUCCGCACUGGCGAAGACUUCUCUGCCCACCGAUGCGGUCCGUAUUCAAGCUCGACUGAAUUAAAAUUUUCAAAUUCGAUUGAUUCUAUUUCAUCAUUUGAUUUAGACAAAAUAGAAAGAAAGCAAUCACUUAACUUAU